rnacentral:rRNA from 1 species
AGAGCGAACGCUGGCGGCAGGCUUAACACAUGCAAGUCGAGCGGGCGUAGCAAUACGUCAGCGGCAGACGGGUGAGUAACGCGUGGGAACAUACCUUUUGGUUCGGAACAACACAGGGAAACUUGUGCUAAUACCGGAUAAGCCCUUACGGGGAAAGAUUUAUCGCCGAAAGAUUGGCCCGCGUCUGAUUAGCUAGUUGGUGAGGUAAUGGCUCACCAAGGCGACGAUCAGUAGCUGGUCUGAGAGGAUGAUCAGCCACAUUGGGACUGAGACACGGCCCAAACUCCUACGGGAGGCAGCAGUGGGAAUAUUGGACAAUGGGGGCAACCCUGAUCCAGCCAUGCCGCGUGAGUGAUGAAGGCCCUAGGGUUGUAAAGCUCUUUUGUGCGGGAAGAUAAUGACGGUACCGCAAGAAUAAGCCCGGCUAACUUCGUGCCAGCAGCCGC